rnacentral:rRNA from 1 species
AUGGCCUGUAUCAGAGAUGGGUUGGGUGGAAUAUUGAAGAUGCCGGUGCUCGUCAAAUUGGACCUGCGAAUGAGCCUCUGGGUUAUGAGGAAGGUGAAGGUUAGGCCUCGCGUAAUAGCUAUUGAUGAUGACAGGAAUGUUUUCUUUACUGCGGAGGAUUCCCAUAAGAUAUUCGGGGUCCCGUGCGGCAACCAAGAUGUUCGUGUCAGGGAUACAAACAUUGCUCCUUCGGCGUUCAAGUUCAUAAAGCAGGCAAUUGGGAUGGACAACUCAGCAUCGAACUACCUUCAUCAGCAAAGACAUUUAUGA